UCGUUUAAACGACAAAGCGAUGUCGUUAUUACGACAUAAGGUUGUCGUUAUAACGACAUCUUAUGUCGUAAUAACGACAUAAGGUUGUCGUUAUAACGACAUCUUAUGUCGUAAUAACGACAUCUUAUGUCGUAAUAACGACAUCGCUUGUCGUUUAAACGACAUAUUUUGUCGUAAUUACGACAUCUUAUGUCGUAAUAACGACAUAUAUUACAACAUAUUAUGUCGUAAUAACGACAUCGAUAUGUCGUUAUUACGACA
rnacentral:sRNA from 1 species